rnacentral:rRNA from 1 species
UACGUAGGGUGCGAGCGUUGUCCGGAAUUAUUGGGCGUAAAGGGCUCGUAGGCGGUCUGUCGCGUCGGGAGUGAAAACUCAGGGCUUAACCCUGAGCCUGCUUCCGAUACGGGCAGACUAGAGGUAUGCAGGGGAGAACGGAAUUCCUGGUGUAGCGGUGAAAUGCGCAGAUAUCAGGAGGACACCGGUGGCGAAGGCGGUUCGUCUGGCCGAUACUGACGCUGAGGAGCGAAAGCGUGGGAGCGAACAGG